UAAGAUUACUAGCUUGACUUUUUUGUAGCCAUUUUUAACGUCAGCUAACUGAAAAUCAAGUGGACGUUAAGUGACGUAAACGGCCGUCCUCCGCAAGCUUUUUACUUUCAAGCUUACAGAUGUUGAGUGUUUAAUUUUCACAACUAAGUAGAUUCACUCAAGUACUGUACCAAAGUUCAAUUUUGAGGCACUUGUACUUUACUUGAGUAUUUCAAUUGUUUGCUUCUGUGUCCUUCUACUCCACUAGGCCCUACUAUAAGAGGAGUGAAGGAGCCCCGCUAACAAAUCCCAUGGAUAUAUUACUGCAACUGGCAAAGUAACGUGCUAGCAUGGAAGAAAACAGAAGAGAUGGAGUGGUACCUGGAGGUGGCUGAGCGCGGUCCACACUACAGGAAGAAGGUAGACGAAACUGAAUCCCUACGAGGAGCAGACAACACCAGUUAGCAACAGCAAUGCAGCAGUUGUCGGCUAUAACAGCUAGCCUGCAGUCCUGACACAAGGUGAUGUCAACAACUUGCCCAACGC